AGAACAAUGAAAGCAGACGAGG
rnacentral:miRNA from 1 species